rnacentral:rRNA from 1 species
UACGAAGGGGGCUAGCGUUGCUCGGAAUCACUGGGCGUAAAGGGUGCGUAGGCGGGGCUUUAAGUCAGGGGUGAAAUCCUGGAGCUCAACUCCAGAACUGCCUUUGAUACUGAGGAUCUUGAGUUCGGGAGAGGUGAGUGGAACUGCGAGUGUAGAGGUGAAAUUCGUAGAUAUUCGGAAGAACACCAGUGGCGAAGGCGGCUCACUGGACUGGUAUUGACGCUGAGGUGCGAAAGCGUGGGGAGCAAACAGG